rnacentral:rRNA from 1 species
GACGAACCGUGCGAACGUUAUUCGGAAUCACUGGGCUUAAAGCGCGUGUAGGCGGGCCGCCGCGUCGGCUGCUGAAAUCCCCCGGCUCAACCGGGGAACGGGCACCGAUACGGGCGGCCUCGAGGGGGGUAGGGGGGCCUGGAACUUCCGGUGGAGCGGUGAAAUGCGUAGAGAUCGGGAGGAACACCAGUGGCGAAGGCGGCCUUCUGGACCAAUACUGACGCUCAUGCACGAAAGCGUGGGGAGCAAACAGG